rnacentral:piRNA from 1 species
UCCUCUUCUUGGUGUGCCAUAUAACGGAGGU